GAACUCGGAGUUGGAUCUUCUUCAGUCUCCAACGCUUGCUCCAAAGGCACAACAUCAUCAGCUUCUGCUCACAUCCAAGGAUUUGGAUGAUCAUCGCAAGGGAAAGUCACACACAUACAAAACACACAAUUGCAAGGGUAAGCUAGGUUGAAAAGCAUGCAAAUAAACAGUCUAUCAGAUUAUACAUUAAAUGGAACUAACUGUCAUGUUAUACAAUCACACAGACAUCAUGCAAAGACCAUAACACAAUUUAGACUAAGACCGAACGCAUUUUUGUUGAUAGCAAUGACUGACACGUGAUUUGACCGUCCGGACUAGUAUGAAAUGUCGAGUUUCAGGGGUUUGUGCACUUGUGGUGGCCCUACUGCUUUGCAAAGCCAUUGCCGAGGGGUUUCACCCGACCACACACAAGUGUAAGUCCAACCAAACUCAUCUUGGCCCAUAUAAAAUGGAGACAACCAAGACUAGGACCUCCUCCUAUUCUCACCACAUGACUCAUCACUCUCUAAUUGAGCAUGGAUGGUCAUUAGAAUGUCAAGGUAAACCCCAUCCUGAACUCCGGC
rnacentral:lncRNA from 1 species